UACGUAGGGGGCAAGCGUUGUCCGGAUUUAUUGGGCGUAAAGAGCGUGUAGGCGGCCUGGAAGGUCAGCUGUGAAAACUCGAGGCUCAACCUCGAGACGUCGGUUGAAACCACUUGGCUAGAGUCCGGAAGAGGAGUGUGGAAUUCCCGGUGUAGCGGUGAAAUGCGCAGAUAUCGGGAGGAACACCAAUGGCGAAGGCAGCUCGCUGGGACGGUACUGACGCUGAGACGCGAAAGCGUGGGGAGCAAACAGG
rnacentral:rRNA from 1 species